UAGCUCAGCGGCAUAAGCACCUGCCUUGCAAGCAGGCGGUCCUGAGUUCGAUCCUCAG
rnacentral:tRNA from 1 species